GCAGUCGAACGAACCUUCGGGUUAGUGGCGGACGGGUGAGUAACGCGUGAGCAAUUCNGCCCUCAGGAGGGGGAUAACGGCUGGAAACGGCCGCUAAUACCCCAUAUGCCGAAAGGUGAAACGAAAUUCGCCUGUGGAUGAGCUCGCGUCUGAUUAGCUAGUUGGUGGGGUAAAGGCCUACCAAGGCGUCGAUCAGUAGCUGGUCUGAGAGGAUGAUCAGCCACACUGGGACUGAGACACGGCCCAGACUCCUACGGGAGGCAGCAGUGGGGAAUUUUCCGCAAUGGGCGAAAGCCUGACGGAGCAACGCCGCGUGAGGGAAGAAGGCCUCUGGGCUGUAAACCUCUUUUCUCAAGGAAGAAGAUCUGACGGUACUUGAGGAAUAAGCCACGGCUAAUUCCGUGCCAGCAGCCGCGGUAAUACGGGAGUGGCAAGCGUUAUCCGGAAUUAUUGGGCGUAAAGCGUCCGCAGGCGGCCUUUCAAGUCUGCUGUUAAAGCGUGGAGCUUAACUCCAUUAAGGCAGUGGAAACUGUUGGGCUUGAGUGUGGUAGGGGCAGAGGGAAUUCCCGGUGUAGCGGUGAAAUGCGUA
rnacentral:rRNA from 1 species